rnacentral:rRNA from 1 species
GGGUGCGAUCAUACCAGCACUAAUNCNCCGCUUUUAUCUGAUAGAAUGCGCUAAAAGUGAUUGGGUCAGUCAUACCAGCACUAAUGCACCUUCUGGGAAGUCCUCGUCUUGCACCCCUC